rnacentral:rRNA from 1 species
AUGAGAUCUUCAGCUUUGUUCAGCGUGAAGGCGAGAGCUUGUAUGAUGCUUGGGAGAGAGCUACAGUUGGUUACUUUUGAUAUUGAGGAGAUACCUUUAGUUGAUAUUGAUCAUGUGCUGCUAGAGACAGAUAUGGAAAAGUUCACCUUUGAUGAUGUUAGCCACAUCGAUUCUUCAAUGUUUGAGCCUGAGAUAGAAAUCUUCAUUGUUGAUUAUGAUGAGGUCACUUCAGAUGUCAAGGAGCAAAGCCCUACUAUUUCACAUGUCGAUACGAGCCCGGUGGAAGUUCCUACUACCAUGCCUUCCAUGGUAUCUUCAGUUGAGGUAUUCAUAAAACUUCUCCAAGGCCAUUUCAGGUAUUAUCUCAGCUUUCUGGAUAAGUUAUGUCAUAUUGCUGAUAUUGCCUAUGCACCAUGUGACUUGUUGUCGAUACAUGUUCCUGAUUUGCUCAAUAGAUAUACUUAUAUGAUAGGGUACUCUAUCGAUGACUUAGAGGGCAUUCUCUCUGUCACUUGUAUUGGCUUGGUUGUUGAGUGUUCUUUCAGGUUGAUGCUUGUGCACCAUUUACUACGAGUUGACCGAGUUCGAGAUGACAUUCCCUGGGAUCCUGGUGGAUUCACGGCAUGGUGA